rnacentral:rRNA from 1 species
UACAGAGGGUGCUAGCGUUAAUCGGAAUUACUGGGCGUAAAGCGUGUGUAGGUGGUUAGAUAAGUUAGAUGUGAAAUCCCCGGGCUUAACCUGGGCAUUGCGUUUAAGACUGUUUAGCUUGAGUACUGUAGAGGAUAGUGGAAUUUCCAGUGUAGCGGUGAAAUGCGUAGAUAUCGGGAGGAACACCAAUGGCGAAGGCAGCUCGCUGGGACGGUACUGACGCUGAGACGCGAAAGCGUGGGGAGCAAACAGG